GUUCUUAAAAAAAAAGGCAAAAAAAUAAAUGAAAAAAAAAGAAAUUAGACAGAACAACUGUCUAAAUUAGGAGUUUUAGAACAGCUAAAAACCCCAUAUGUGGCAGUUUGAUAUAGGCUAAUCUUUAGGCAAAAGGAGAAAAAAAAUCAAAUCUUUUGCGUUGAGUUUGUGUGUUGAUUUUAAGCAAAAACGUUCGCGGGAUCUUUGGAGGUGUGACCUGAGAUCACGAAACAAACAAUCUCUACUCGACUCAUUCAUCACACACCAUGUGGAGAAGAAUCGUAUCCUCUCAUCUCAAAGUCCGAUGUCGCCGCUGCUUCUCCUCGCCGAUCCAUAGCCACCACCACCGCGAGACCCGUUGGCUUCCAUCGCGCAGCCAAUCCCGCUUCGUCUUCUUCCGUCAUCCAUCGCUGUUUCAGCUCUGAAUCAGGUGGUAUAUCGUUGCUAUAGUGUCUACGUUUUCAGAUCUCGCCUUUGUGAUUAUGUUUAUGCUGGAUUAGAUGCAAUUAUCGCCGUAUUAUCUUAUCAAUCGUUUCACCACUGUUCUUGCUUACGCCGUUGUUACUGCAAGUUUCUGUUAUUCUAUCGAUUUUGUUGUUCUCUUUUACCAUUGAAUCUGUGCAAGAGUUAUUACCCUUUUACUUUGCAGUGGAGACAAUAGCGAAGAAGAAGGUGGAGGAUGUUAUGCCCAUUGCAACUGGACACGAGAAGGAGGAGCUUGAAGCUGAACUUGAGUGACUAUCUGUUCAAGCUUUCGCUUAUUGGUGACUCUGGUGUUAGAAAAUCCUGCUUGCACGUGUGGUGAUGUAGGUCAUUUCGCAACAGGGCAAACGGCGGCGGAUACGUCGGAGGUGGAGGUGGAGGUGGCGGUGGAAACACUUGCUAUACCUGUGGCGGAGUUGGACACAUGGCUAGAGUUUGCACAAGCAAGAGACAGUCUGGUGGUGGUGGUGGUGGUGCUUGUUAUGAGUGUGGAGGCAUUGGUCAUUUGGCACGUGACUGUGAUCGUAGAGGAAGAGUAGGCGGUGGCGGCGGUGGUGGAGGAAAGUGUUUCACAUGCGGCGAGGAAGGUCACUUUGCGAGGGACUGCUAUUCGCUUGCUUAACAAAGAAAAAGAAGAGUGAUGUUCAUAAACUUCUUUGUUUUCUAUUGGUUUUCUGAUGUUUACUAUUUAAAUGGUGACUAUAAUGUGAUAGCUAGAGUUGUUUCUGUUGAUGUUUUGGAAUGUUUAUUGAGAGUUUAUGAUCUCUAUAUUGCUCGUAUAUGACAGGUUCUUGCAUACCUA